rnacentral:rRNA from 1 species
UACGAAGGGUGCAAACGUUGCUCGGAAUCAUUGGGCGUAAAGCGCACGUAGGCGGCUUCGCAAGUCGGAUGUGAAAUACCUAGGCUCAACCAAGGACGUGCAUUCGAAACUGCGAGGCUUGAGUACAGAAGAGGAGUCGCUCGGAAUUCCCGGUGUAGAGGUGAAAUUCGUAGAUAUCGGAGGAACACCAGUGGCGAAGGCGGCGAUCUGGGCUGAUACUGACGCUGAGGUGCGAAAGCGUGGGGAGCAAACAGG